UUUUAGAUUCACAAAUUUUUUUACGUCAUUAUUAUUAUUGACUUCAUAGACAUUGGGCUCUUUAUUGUAAUUUUGCAAUUUAUUGUUUUCAUCUGGCCAGAUGUCUGCCUGUCUUUUUGAUCUCGUUUGGACCAUCAAUAUAUUUCUAUUCAUUUCUAUUAAGUUUUCAAUGCUAACUCUAGAGAUGUAAUGUCCCCAUAUAUCAAGAUUUUUUUUUAAAUCCCCAAAAUUUGCGCCUUAGUUAGUAGCGAUAAUAAUUAUCGGAACCUUAUCUGGCAACGUCAUCUAAAUGGCAAUUGACCAGCUGGUGAAUAUUGAUUCGGAGAAAAGUUCUUCGGAUCCCCAGCAUCUAGCUUCGAUCUUUUCUUACGACGAUCGUCAAGCUUAUAAGUUCAGUCCCAGCAGAGAUAAGACCUAGCAAAAAGGCAAAUCAAGAAAAAAGAACUGGAGAGUACAAUCACAUGUGCUCCCAACUUUAAUCCAGCGUUUAUUUCGGCAUCAAGAUUAAAAGGCCACAAAGAAAAGGCAAUUAAUAAAUGCCCGUGGAUUGCCGUGUCGGCAAGGUCACGCGUGUUAUUUUUUAUCGUCGACUACACAGCGAGAAAUCGCCAGGUCGAUCGAUUCCACUAAAGAAAAAAAUCACUGGGUAAAUAUCCAAGUAAUUCUGGGGAAAAAUUGCCCGAAAUGAAUGAGUUAUAUUCCCGCAGUUACCCGAGGAAACGAAGCUGAAUUUUAAACUCUUCCACGCCGACCCAAAAGUUCGGCUGGAGUCAGCUACCUCUGCUGGGAGACAAAUUCUUCGGAGGUCGCAGGAAAAAAAUCUACAGAAAAACCUACAUAGAAAUAAAAACCCUUACAAAACUAGUGUAAAACAAAAACAGAUUAAAAUACCAUCAGUGCCUAAAAACCCAAAAA